UCAAAUACGACCUAAGUAACCAUAGUAACUGCCCCGCCAUCAUCGUUUCUCAUUUUUUGCAUUUUUCGGCCUAAAAUUAGAAUUACGCCCGAUUCCCAUAUUUUCGUGUGCUAUACCCACGCCUUCCAAGUGGUCCGGGGAGCCACGGACCCCGAUCGCCUAAAAUUUUUCCGGACUAUCAAAUACGACCUAAGGUACCAUAUUCACUGCCCCACCAUGAUCGUUCCAAAUGCUUUGCAUUUUUCGGCCAAAAAACUAGAACUCCGCGCGAUUUGCAUAUUGUCGUGUGCUAUAGCUUACGCCUUCCGAGUGGUCCCGGGUGCCGUGGACCCCGAUCGCCUAAAAUUUUCCGGGCCAUCAAAUACGACCUAAGGAACCAUAGUCACGGCCCCGCCAUGAUCGUUCCUCAUUUAUUGUGUUUUUCGGCCAAAAAAACUAGAAUUCCGCUAGAUUACCAUAUUUUUGUGUGUUAUGGCCCACACCUUCCGAGUGGGCCGGACCGCCGGACUCGGAUCGCCUAAAAAAUUUACGGGCCAUCAAUUAGAACCUAAGGAACCAUAGUCACCGCCUCGCCAUGAUCGUUCCUCAUUUUUUUGCAUUUUU
rnacentral:lncRNA from 1 species